rnacentral:lncRNA from 1 species
AAUAAUUAGAUAAUAAAAAGAGGCAAUCCCCUUAGAUGGUGGUCCAUUAGUGUUGUCUUCAGCGAUGUUGUCUACAAGAAAUAAAAUAGUCAAAGGACAACUUUGAAAACAGUUUUAUAUAGUCCAUCUACAUACAAAAAAAAAAAGAGUAGCGAGAUGGACAAUACGUUUAGUAGGUUUUCUGACACCAGAAAAGGAUAACUAUAUAAGAUUAGUUGUAUAAGUGAUCAACAACAUUUUCCGUCUUCAGCUGCGUAAUUCUGGUCCAUCAAAAGUUUGUGUUUAAGGACAAGGAUUUAUGUCCUCCGCAGUGGAUCGAAGAGACGAUCUGAUAAGGACAAAAUUAUAGUGUUACAAUGGACAACAGCAUAAUGGAACUCAAG